rnacentral:rRNA from 1 species
CCUACGGGAGGCAGCAGUCGGGAAUAUUGCGCAAUGGAGGAAACUCUGACGCAGCGACGCCGCGUGCAGGAAGAAGGCCUUCGGAUUGUAAACUUCUUUAUACAGGGAAGUAAAAAGACAGUACCUGUGGACUAAGCUCCUGCUAACUACGUGCGAGCAGCCGCGGUAAUACGCAGGGAGCAAGCGGUAUCCGGAUUUAUUGGGUGUAAAGGGUGCGUAGGCGGAGAAGCAAGUUAGUUGUGAAAUCCCUGGGCUUAACUGAGGAACUGCAGCUAAAACUACUGUCUUUGAGUACUGGAGAGGAAGGUGGAAUUCCUAGUGUAGCGGUGAAAUGCGGAGAUAUUAGGAGGAACACCAGUGGCGAAGGCGGCUUGCUGGACAGUAACUGACGUUGAGGCACGAAAGUGUGGGGAGCAAACAGGAUUAGAUACCCUUGUAGUC